CCGCAGCGUCCUGGUUCAUUGGCGGCGGCGUGGACGCUGCCAUGUUGGCGGAAGCGGUGCCUUCUGUGCGGUGGAAAUGCCGUGGCUGCACCCGCAGCGUCGGGGAUCGCAGCCUCCUACCGUUCCUCCUCGCUGGAGUGUCGGCGCUGAGAGGCGGCGGCCGGCGGGAUGGAGAGAAGUAGGAUGAACCUCCCCAAGGAGCCGGACACGCUCUGCUUCGACAAGGAGGAGUUCAUGAAGAGAUCACAAGUAGGAAGAGAGGCAGGCAGAGAGAGAGGAGGAAACAGGCUCCCUGCUGAGGAGAAAGCCUGGUGUGGGGCUCGAUCCCAAGACCCUGGAAUCAUGACCUGAGCCGAAGGCAGAGGCCUUAACUCACUGAGCUACACAGGAAGAUUUCGACGUCAAUCAUUUUCUGUCUGUCUGUAGGAAGCGUGUCCAGCUGGAGGAACUAAGAGGAGAUCUGGAGCUCUACUAUAAACUUCUUAAAACAGCCAUGGUCGAGCUCAUCAACAAGGAUUACGCAGAUUUUGUCAACCUUUCCACAAACUUGGUUGGCAUGGACAAAGCCCUCAAUCAACUUUCUGUGCCUUUGGGACAGUUACGAGAAGAAGUUCUGAGUCUCAGGUCAUCUGUCAGUGAAGGAAUUCGGGCAGUAGAUGAACGAAUGUGUAAACAAGAGGACAUAAGGAAGAAAAAGAUGUGUGUGUUGAGGCUUAUACAAGUUAUUUAAUCAGUUGAAAAGAUUGAAAAAAUCUUAAAUUCACAAAGUUCUAAAGAAACCUCUGCACUAGAAGCAAGCAGCCCUCUCUGGACUGGACAGAUUUUGGAGAGAAUUGCCACAGAAUUUAACCAGUUAUAGUUUCAUGCUGUUCAGAGCAAAGGCAUGCCUCUUCUGGACAAAGUAAGACCACGUAUAGCCGGCAUUACGGCCAUGCUGCAGCAGUCCCUGGGAGGCCUGCUGCUAGAAGGCUUCAGACUUCCAAUGUGGAUAUCAUACGGCACUGCCUCCGGACCUACGCUACAAUUGACAAGACACGGGAUGCAGAGGCGUUAGUUGGUCAAGUACUGGUGAAACCGUACAUGGAUGAGGUUUGUGCUCCCAUGCACCUCAUUCCGCAAACACAGAGCAUCUACUCUGGCUUCUAUUCUUGACUGGGUGCGAGAGAGCUCAGGGCUCUUCCUUGAAGAUGCUCUUAGUUCCUGCUCUUCUGGUUGUAAGAAAAGAUUGGUCCCGCUUGGUGCCCAUCAGCAUGGCAGGAAUCAGGUAUGCGCUCUGGUCUUUUCCAGUGAUCUCAUAGCACAGGGAUCAUCUUAAUUUAGUAGGGGUGAGGGACUUGCCUAGGAAGAAGGUACGGAUCAGAACAUUUUUAGGUCAGUUUCCAUUUCCAUAAGUUAUACGUUAAUGGAGUUGCCGAAAAGCGUGACCCCACCAAGGCGCCCGUGCCCACUGGAGGAGCUGGAAGACAGCUCUGUGUUAGGGUCGAGAAGACCUCAACCUAGGGAGGCGCAGAGGAACGACACCAAGGCAGCUCUUUCUACAACAGCACGGGCUUUAUUGGUCCUGCAUGCUGGGGCUCUGCAACAUACCCAAAGAUCAGCCAGAGGCUGAGAGCCCCGAUUCAAGGGAGUAUGGGGUUUUUAUGCAUUUUUUUAGACAAAGGCUUGUCAUAAAGCCAUAAUCACAGUGACCUCAUAGUUACAGUUCCUGGUAUGUUCUGCACAGUUUACAUUUUUCAGUUAGCCAUAUCUUAUCAUCCAGAUGUAGCUGGGCGGCUGUGAAACUAGGAUAAAAUAGUUCUCUUCUUUGUUAACCACAAGCAUAAUUCAAGGACAUCUCUUAAGCAGGGAACAUACUCAGGAUGUGGGGCCUUGGGGGAAUGGAGGGGAACACAAAGGGAAGGCCAUGCUCCUACUCAAGGUUCGACCCACAAAGCAGCAGAGCAGUUGCAGAAAAGCAAGUUAGCAGAAGCUCCACACAAUUUAACUCUUUCAGCUCUGGAUCUCUUCAUCUGUGCGCAGGGAAAGUGCGUGAGGGGAGGCGUCUUUGCAGAAUUGAUGUGGCCUAAGUCUUGAAGACCAUGGGGGAGUUUGCCAGGCUAGGAAGGUGGGAGGGAGGGAAUAUUCAAAGAUAAAGGGAUUUUAAGGGCGAGUUAGCGGGGUAGUACCUUAAGUCCGGAACUUGGUUACCCAGUGUUCUUGACCUAUGAGGAUACACUUAAAUACAGGGAGUCAGUGUAUCCUGCCUCUGAGCGGCCAGAGUACGGGCUACACCAUGUGAGGCCGCCAGCAAUCAGCAGCUUCCCACUUAGCGUUGGUUUCAUCUAGUUCAGGCUGACAGAAGUCAUGAAACCAGUCUCAGCAUUUGAGGGCUUUCUUCCGGUCACCUGCCAGUGCGAGUGUUCUUCUGUCCAGUAAGUAUAAAGCUACCCACCAUUAUUUCAGGAUGAAAGGCUUCCAGUUUUAAAACGGUACAGUAUCCCAGUGAUAGAAGUGAAAAUGAAGGAUUAAUUUCAGUAAUCUUCUCAGCUUCAUUAGGACUACUAAAAUUAAAUGAUCUGUCAGUUCUUUGUAUGUAUCCUAUUAUAUAGUUCAUAGCUCUCUCUGUGGGGUGAAAAAGAUCACAUUAUUCUUUGUCACUAAAUGAAAAUAGUUAAGUUAUUUAAUUUAUGCCCUUUUCAUUGAACUGAAUCUAAUAUGCUAAAUUAGGGAAGUGCUUUACGUUUCCGUGUCAUUAAAUGAACUGUGGCCACGUUUGUAUUUUAAGUUUGUAUGCUUGUCAUUCACCUCCUGCAACUCAGCCUCACCACAAAAAAUAAAAUACUAAAGCAAAAUAAGAUGUGUUUUCUUCCAUCGCUUUCCGUCUCAGCCCUUUCCCUGUUCUGGAGACGGUAGAGGACAAGGCCAGGGUGAAGAUGGUACAGAGCUGUUGUCUGCAGAUACAGUAUUUCGCUUUUAAGCUCAGAAGGGAAGCAGAUGAGUGUGUGUGAUGUUUUAGCUUCAGGCCAGUCUCUGUCCCUCAGCCUCUGUGUCCCCCAGGGUUGGAGCAGUAUUCCCAAAUCCCGGGACCUAGAUUUUCGUGCCGCUGUUACUUACCUCCUGUUUAGAAAGCAUGCUGAGUGGGGAGGAGGAAGGACGAAGUGCAUUUUUAAGGUUUACUCGAUUCUUUUCUCUGUAGUGUAUAGUUCAUACUUCUCUUUUAGGUGCUUUAAAAACAAACAGUGCUCGCUUCGGCAGCACAUAUACUAAAAACAAACAAACAAACAAAUAAAUAAAUAAAAAUAAAACGGUCUUCCUUCUGCUAGGUGAUUGUAGAGCAGAUCGUUGAGUCUCAUCUGGACGACCUGAAGAUCAUGUAUGCUAAUAAGCUCCUGGAGUUUGUUCCUCACCACUGCCGCCUUCUUCAAGAGGUCACAGGAGGAGCCAUCUGAAGGCGACGUAAACUGCUGUGCAUGCGCCUGAGCUCAGUUUAGUGACCACCUGUCACCUCCUCAUGAGACGCUGAUCCCUGGCUGUCCUGUCUGACCCGGGAACGUGUGCGCUUCCCUGUUUGUUACCAGUACUGUGAGGCAGGUGUCCCCGCCUGGGUUUACAGGGAAGGGAAUGAAGAGUGGGGACGAAUCUCAAUGGUGACACUUGUGUGACUCCAGAGCCUCUGCUUUUCUCUUGUCUAUACUUUCUCCUUAACCAGGUUCAAAAUCAAAAUUGGUUUCCUUCCAUUAUUGUGAUGUCAUCAUCGGUCUAGAAAUACCAAUUCAUUUUAAUUCAACACGUUUUAUAUGAUGGCAAUUAAAGUCAUGUUCUGUUUUC